ACUGGGCGUAAAGCGUGCGCAGGCGGUUUUGUAAGACUGUCGUGAAAUCCCCGGGCUCAACCUGGGAAUGGCGAUGGUGACUGCAAGGCUAGAGUUUGGCAGAGGGGGGUAGAAUUCCACGUGUAGCAGUGAAAUGCGUAGAUAUGUGGAGGAACACCGAUGGCGAAGGCAGCCCCCUGGGUCAAAACUGACGCUCAUGCACGAAAGCGUGGGGAGCAAACAGGAUUAGAUACCCUGGUAGUCCACGCCCUAAACGAUGUCUACUAGUUGUCGGGUCUUAAUUGACUUGGUAACGCAGCUAACGCGUGAAGUAGACCGCCUGGGGA
rnacentral:rRNA from 1 species